rnacentral:rRNA from 1 species
UACGUAUGGUGCAAGCGUUAUCCGGAUUUACUGGGUGUAAAGGGAGCGCAGGCGGCUUUGCAAGUCUGAUGUGAAAGGCCGGGGCUCAACCCCGGGACUGCAUUGGAAACUGUAAAGCUAGAGUGCCGGAGAGGUAAGCGGAAUUCCUAGUGUAGCGGUGAAAUGCGUAGAUAUUAGGAGGAACACCAGUGGCGAAGGCGGCUUACUGGACGGCAACUGACGCUGAGGCUCGAAAGCGUGGGUAGCGAACAGG